UCCUGCUGGGAAGUAGCAGUAAAGGGCAACACUCACAGACACGCCAGUAUUUCAGUGGUAUGAAUGCAGCACAAGCACAGACAUUUCAAAAACAGGUUUUGAAAACUCUGUUUUACAGUGCAGUUCAUUUCUGACAAUGACCAAAAAUGGCACGGGACAGCAUAGUUAAUGUGUCUGGCUUCUUACAUGUUAUAUAUCACAUAUGAUAAUUCAACCUGGAGGCUUUUUACAAAACUGCUAUUUCUGGAAGUUCUCCAGCAAGUUUCUUCCCAUCUCUGGCCAGAAAUUUUCCAAUAGCUUCCUACAAACAACGUGUGAGAAAAAAAAUGGGAUCAGAGCAUGCCUGCUUGAGGGAAAACACAAAAGAAAUGGGAUCUUCCUUAUUCCCUGUCACUUUUCAUUCUGCUCCGCCUGCAAAACAAAAGCAAAAGGUACCGGCAGUAACUCAGGUCAGGAGGUGACUGGAUCACGAGUCCGUUAAGUGCAGCGAUGCCAUUUUUAGGUCAUUCUCAGAAUAAAGGCACCCCAAGGUGGUAUAUAUUACAAUUAUAAUCUACAUAACCAUAACUUCAUCUUUUAGAAAUGAAUAUAAUGUGCAAGUCCUUGACCACAUUCUAUUUUUUCAACAGGAUCCUCUGCUUGAUUCUGCAACAACCAUUUACAGGCACACAGUACCACAGGGAACCAGAACGUGUUUCAGAUGCACUGAACAAGACCAAGGCUGAUCUUACAGUUUCGGAAAUAGACAAAAAGUCCUAUUUACAAACACCUCUGGAGAAUAUAUCCUAAAUAGAAGCAGAGGUCCCGUCAGGGGAAGUGAUAAUUCUGUGAAGUUCUGCACACAGGUUUUGUGUGAAGAAAUGUCAGAGGAUGUGUGAAACUGAAGGAUUGUAUGACCGCAGCUUCAACUCUUUACAGUAAUUUUCACUCUCACACAAAGAUAAGUUGCUGUCUUUAAACAAAAA